GCAUGGCUGAAUACUGUGUUCUUUUGAUCAGUAGUUUACACAGCCAGACACCAUGCAAAAGUAAAGUUUUCCCUAAUGCAGUGACUUUGGUAUGCUAAGAUUUGUGUGGCAUCCUCAACUGUUAGAAGUAGAUACAAAU
rnacentral:snoRNA from 1 species